UCUCUCAAAUCUUUAAAAAAAAUUUUUUUUAAAAGAAGUUUUGUGGCUAUAUUGAAACACAAGUUAUGCUUCCAUCACAGCAGAUUUAUUGCAGUGGUGACAAUGAGACUUAUAACAUUU